rnacentral:tRNA from 1 species
AUUUAAAUAGUUUAAUAAAAAUAUUGAUUUGUGGGAUCAAUGAUGUAUUAAAAAUACUUUGAAUA